UUUGCCAUGUGAGGACACAGCACUCCUCCCCUCUGGAGAAUCCAACAUUAAGGUGCCAUCUUGCAAAUAGGAUGCAUCCUUCACUAGACAAGCUGAACCUGCUGGUCUCUUGAUCUUGGAUUUCACAGCCUCCAGAAUUAUAAGAAAUUGGUGUCUAUCACCCACAAGCCACUUAAGGAAAAUGCUUUUCCUCUGCUGUGACUGCUGUUGUCCUUCAUGAAAUAAAUACUGCCCAGCCCAGGAAGCAAGCUUCAGACACUCCGAAAGUCACAACGCCCUUGAGAUGCCAAAUGACAAUGUGUUCUGUAAAUCAAACGACGUGACGGAGGGACAUGGAUGGAGUUGGAAGCCAUUAUCUUCAGCAAACUAAUGCAGGAACAGAAAACCAAACACCACAUGUUCUCGCUUGUAAGUGGGAGCUGGAAGAUGAGAACACAUGGACACAUGGAGGGAAACAACACACACUGGGGCCUAUUAGGGGGCUGUGGGGACAGGGAGAGCAUCAUGAAGAAUAGCUAAUGGAUGCUGGGCUUAAUACCUAGGUGAUGGGAUGAUCUGUGCAGCAAAUCACCAUGGCACACAUUUACCUAUGUAACAAACCUGUACAUGUACCCCUGAACUUAAAAUAAAAGUUGAAGGAAAAAAAAGAUUCCAUGGAUUUUUCUACACACACAAUCAGGUAAUCUGAGAAUAAAAAACUGUUUUGCAUAUCCUUUAUAAUAUGCAUGCCUUUUAUUUCUUUUUCUUGCCUUAUUGAAAUACUUUCAUAUUGAAUUAAAGUGAGAGUGGACAUGCUUGUUCCCUGUCUUAAGGAGAAAACAUUUG